UUUUGUCUGUGAUGAUUUAUUCUACCUACAUUGUUUGAUUCAUUUUUCAAAAUGAGAAACCUUUUUUGUCUGAGACAUUU